CACGGGAAAUGGUCGGGAUAGCUCAGUUGUAGAGCA
rnacentral:tRNA from 1 species